GGGUCGAUGCCCGAGUGGUUAAUGGGGACGGAUUGUAAAUCCGUUGGUUCCGACCUACGCUGGUUCAAAUCCAGCUCGGCCCA
rnacentral:tRNA from 1 species